GAUGAACGCUGGCGGCGUGCCUAAUACAUGCAAGUCGAGCGAACCCUCCAGAACCUUUCUUCUCUGAUUUUAUCGCCCGACGGGUCAGUAACACGUGUUUAACCUACCUAUAAGACUGGGAUAACUUCGCGAAACCAUAUCUUAUACCCGAUAAUAUUUUGAACCGCAUUGUUCCAAAGUUAAAUACGCUCUUUCUGUCACUUAUAGAUUAAUCAGCCCUGCAUUAGUUACUUGGUAAGGUAACGGCUUACCAACGCAACGAGGCAUAGCCGACAUGAGCGGGAGAACGGCCAGACGGGAACUGAGACAGAGUCGAGACACCGACGGGAGGAAGCAGUAGGGAAUCUUCCGCGAUGGGGGAAAGCGUGACAGAGCAAAGAGGAGUGAGGGAUGAAGGUGUAAGGAUCGGAAAACGCUGUAAGUAGGGAAGAAGAUAAGUGUAAGUAAAUGUGAAGAUAUUGACAGUACCUAAAGAGAAAGCUACGGCUAACUCCGUG
rnacentral:rRNA from 1 species